rnacentral:tRNA from 1 species
GCCGCCCUAGCUCAGUUGGCAGAGCGAUUCACUCGUAAUGAAUAGGUCGAGGGUUCGAUUCCCUCGGGUGGCUCCG